UACAGGGGGGGCAAGCGUUGUUCGGAAUUACUGGGCGUAAAGGGCUCGUAGGCGGCCAACUAAGUCACACGUGAAAUCCCCAGGCUCAACCUGGGAACUGCGUCUGAUACUGGUUGGCUUGAAUCCGGGAGAGGGAUGCAGAAUUCCAGGUGUAGCGGUGAAAUGCGUAGAUAUCUGGAGGAAUACCGGUGGCGAAGGCGGCAUCCUGGACCGGCAUUGACGCUGAGGAGCGAAAGCCAGGGGAGCAAACGGG
rnacentral:rRNA from 1 species